rnacentral:rRNA from 1 species
GACAGAGGGUGCGAACGUUGUUCGGAAUUACUGGGCGUAAAGCGCAUGUAGGCGGCAGCGCAAGUCGGGCGUGAAAUCCCACGGCUCAACUGAGGAAGUGCGCCCGAAACUGCAGAGCUUGAGUGCCGGAGAGGGUGGCGGAAUUCCCCAAGUAGAGGUGAAAUUCGUAGAUAUGGGGAGGAACACCAGGUGGCGAAGGCGGCCGAGCC